UUGAACGCUGGCGGAAUGCUUUACACAUGCAAGUCGAACGGCAGCACGGGGGCAACCUUGGUGGCGAGUGGCGAACGGGUGAGUAAUACCUAGGAACAUGUCCAGUAAUGGGGGAUAACGCAGCGAAAGCUGUGCUAAUACCGCAUACGCCCUGAGGGGGAAAGCGGGGGAUCGCAAGACCUCGCGUGAUUGGAGCGGCCGAUGUCGGAUUAGCUAGUUGGUGGGGUAAAGGCCUACCAAGGCGACGAUCCGUAGCGGGUCUGAGAGGAUGAUCCGCCACACUGGGACUGAGACACGGCCCAGACUCCUACGGGAGGCAGCAGUGGGGAAUUUUGGACAAUGGGGGCAACCCUGAUCCAGCCAUGCCGCGUGAGUGAAGAAGGCCUUCGGGUUGUAAAGCUCUUUCAGACGGAAAGAAAUCGGGCGCGUGAAUAGCGUGCCUGGAUGACGGUACUGUCAGAAGAAGCACCGGCUAACUACGU
rnacentral:rRNA from 1 species